ensembl:processed_transcript
UUUGCUGCAGCCUGCCUGUUGCUGUUCGCGUGGAGCCUUUCCUGGUGCUAGUAGGAACUCUCACCACCACUACCCCUAUUCCCCUCCAGCCUUUGCUAGAGGAGAGAAGCCAGAGCCUGGAGGCCAAGUCCUUCAAUCUCCAUUACGACCCCUCCCAGCAGGGCGCGGCCUAAAGGGAUGUCAACAGGUCAGCCUUCCGUCUGUCGGAGCAGAGGCUCUCCGGAAAAGGAUACUGCUGACAUCAAAUCCACAUCCCCAAGAGGACUGCAUCAACUCUUUUGGAAACUGUCUUCCCAUCUUGAUGCCCUGCACUGUGCAGCUUCUGAAAAUGACACACAGGGAACUUCACCCUGACCAGGAAAAUCAAGGCUCUGAGAACUAGUUUAUUUUCUUGGAACAGAUAUGUUUUUCCCUAGUGCCAUAGAAAACAAUACAUAUAAAUAAAAAGGCAGUGUUUCUGUGGAAAAUAAAAGUACAUAAAUAAAUACUAAAAAAAAAAAAA